rnacentral:rRNA from 1 species
UACGAAGGGGGCUAGCGUUGCUCGGAAUCACUGGGCGUAAAGCGCACGUAGGCGGAUCUUUAAGUCAGGGGUGAAAUCCUGGAGCUCAACUCCAGAACUGCCUUUGAUACUGGGGAUCUCGAGUCCGGAAGAGGUAGUAGUAGACUCGAGUGUAGAGGUGAAAUUCGUAGAUAUUCGGAAGAACACCAGUGGCGAAGGCGGCUCACUGGUCCGGUUCUGACGCUGAGGCGCGAAGGCCAGGGGAGCAAACGGG